CUCCUCGUAGCUCAGUUGGAUAGAGCAACUCCCUUCUAAGGAGUAGGCCGUAGGUUCGAAUCCUACCGAGGAGG
rnacentral:tRNA from 1 species